GAUGAACGCUGGCGGCGUGCUUAACACAUGCAAGUCGAACGAAGCACUUAUGACAGAUUCUUCGGAUGAUGGAUUAAGUGACUGAGUGGCGGACGGGUGAGUAACGCGUGGGUAACCUGCCUCAUACAGGGGGAUAACAGUUAGAAAUGACUGCUAAUACCGCAUAAGCGCACAAUACCGCAUGGUAUGGUGUGAAAAACUCCGGUGGUAUGAGAUGGACCCGCGUCUGAUUAGCUAGUUGGUGGGGUAACGGCUCACCAAGGCGACGAUCAGUAGCCGGUCUGAGAGGAUGAACGGCCACAUUGGGACUGAGAUACGGCCCAGACUCCUACGGGAGGCAGCAGUGGGGAAUAUUGGGCAAUGGGGGAAACCCUGGACCCAGCAACGCGCGUGAAGGAAGAAGGCCUCGG
rnacentral:rRNA from 1 species